CACAAUCUGCAAGGUAAAGAUAUAAGCAACAGUUUCCCAAAAGCAGAAUAACUCCAUAAGAUUUAAAUGCCUUGACAAGUCAUGAAUUAAUAAACAGCACUUUGAGUCUUCACCUUGGAUUCUGUUCUUGCAAAGAUCCUAAUAAUUGUUAUAAUUGUUUAACACCAUUUAUUUUAAAUGUGUAAUGUGCAAUAGUACUAGGAAAUCGUCAUCGCAUACAGACCGCUCUAAUACAAGUCAAACAUGAGCCAUGUGAAGCUCAUUAAUCAUUUUCACAUCUAAUUCUAUCUCAACAGCACUACGUCAACUUCCAUACAACCUUAAAAUACAGAAGCAUACGGGUCUGAUGCAAAUUUCAGACAGAACAAUUCAUGUUAGCCGAUAAGAGGCAGAAGAGCUACAUAUGACAUUUCAAUGAUCUCCAAAGAUCACAGCACACAAGCGAGGCUACUAAUGUUGCAUAAAUCCAAGGAAGCUGCGAUUUAUAUUCAAGUGCAAAUAAGUGUUAAAUUCAACAUAAACUAGGGCUUAAUAAUCAAGACAAGUUUCAGAGUGAACAAUAAUCCUAUGAACCAAUCAUAAUUUCCCCAAACACAAGAAAUAGUUCAUACUAUUUUGCAAUAUCAUAACUGACUAUGAAAUCACGGCACCAAAACAUAAACUUCUAGCCUAUCAAGGUACAUCUGCAUUAAUAACCAUUCUACACGUACACAUGGAUUUGUAUUCAAAGAUGUAUGCAUCUAUAGCAUGGUUUGUCAGCUUGGCUGAUCUAAGCUGCAAUUGGGAUAGGACAUGCCUGGCCGAAAACAAGUAUUUUUUAUUUUUUAGCCAAAAUCGACUGAAGCUGCACAGAAACUAUGAAACUGGAAAGGAUCCAACAUAUUUUGAUUGAUUAAGGUUAAUUUUUGUCAUUUCAAAGAAUCCUGAGCCGAAGAUCAGUUCUGAUCAAUCCAUAUGGAUCUUGGUCCUAUACAUGUACAGUCACUUUUAAACCAGAUUCUGAUGCUAAAUUUUGAUAUAAUAUCAAUACUAUCUAUUACUCCUAUGAACUUGUCAUGCAUAGAGGAAAUUAUUAGUGAUAUUUUCAUAGCAAACUAGAUAUUUCUUAUCUCCAGAAUGCAAAACCAAACAAUUCAAUACAAUGAAAAAAAUACCAACUUUAGAAGCGCAAAAAGUUCAUCAAAACUAAGCAAUCUUAUUUCACAGCUAUAUCAAAUUUAAGGCAAAUUUGAGAAUAUAAAACCAUAAUCCUUCAUCCUUCAUAAUUACACCCGUUCAU
rnacentral:lncRNA from 1 species